rnacentral:rRNA from 1 species
AUUGAACGCUGGCGGCAGGCCUAACACAUGCAAGUCGAGCGAGCGGCGGACGGGUGAGUAAUGUAUGGGGACUGCCCGAUAGAGGGGGAUAACUACUGGAAACGGUGGCUAAUACCGCAUACUAUCGGAUAACCCAUAUGGGAUUAGCUAGUAGGUGGGGUAAAGGCUCACCUAGGCGACGAUCCCUAGCUGGUCUGAGAGGAUGAUCAGCCCCACUGGGACUUAGACACGGCCCAGACUCCUACGGAGGCAGCAGUGGGGAAUCUUGGACAAUGGGCGGAAGGCUGAUGCAGCAAUGCCGCGUGUAUGAAGAAGGCCUUCGGGUUGUAAAGUACUUUCAGUCGAGAAGCGUUACCGACAGAAGAAGCACCGGCUAACUCCGUGCCAGCCGCCGCGGUAAUUC